rnacentral:rRNA from 1 species
AUUGAACGCUGGCGGCAGGCCUAACACAUGCAAGUCGAGCGGAGGUAGCAAUACCUUAGCGGCGGACGGGUGAGGAAUGCAUCGGAACGUGCCGAGUAGUGGGGGAUAACGCAGGGAAACUUGCGCUAAUACCGCAUACGCCCCGAGGGGGAAAGUGGGGGACCGCAAGGCCUCACGCUAUUUGAGCGGCCGAUGCCCGAUUAGCUAGUUGGUGAGGUAAUGGCUCACCAAGGCGACGAUCGGUAGCUGGUCUGAGAGGAUGAUCAGCCACACCGGAACUGAGACACGGUCCAGACUCCUACGGGAGGCAGCAGUGGGGAAUAUUGGACAAUGGGGGCGAACCCUGAUCCAGCCAUGCCGCGUGAGUGAAG